CUGGCCAGUCAUGCACCCUAAGUGUGACUCGCAUGGUCCUCCCACCUUCAGGCCACAGAGACGAAGGGACAGAAGGGCCGCACUCGCGCGGCCGAGGCCCCGCCCCCAGCUCGUCGGCCAGCCCGCGCCUCCAGCGGAAGCCGGAAGCAAAAGCAGUCCCUGCUAGCCCCCGGCUCCGAACUCGGUGGUCCUGGAGGCUCCGCAGGAUGGGGGAGAAGAUGGCGGAAGAGGAGCCCUGGGCACAUAGUAGUGAAGGAGGCCGAACAGGAGCCGCCCUCAGGUUCCCGAACACAACUCACGAAGGUUUCAAUGUCACCCUCCACACCACCCUGGUCGUCACGACGAAGCUGGUGCUCCCUACCCCGGCCAAGCCCAUUCUCCCCGUGCAGACGGGGGAGCAGGCUCAGCAGGAGGAACAGUCCAGCGGCAUGACCAUUUUCUUCAGCCUCCUCGUCCUAGCUAUCUGCAUCAUAUUGGUGCAUUUACUGAUCCGAUACAGAUUACAUUUCUUGCCAGAGAGCGUUGCCGUUGUUUCUUUAGGUAUUCUCAUGGGAGCAGUUAUAAAAAUUAUAGAGUUUAAAAAACUGGCAAAUUGGAAGGAAGAAGAAAUGUUUCGUCCAAAUAUGUUUUUCCUCCUGCUGCUUCCUCCUAUUAUAUUUGAGUCAGGAUAUUCAUUACACAAGGGUAACUUCUUUCAGAAUAUUGGUUCCAUCACCCUGUUUGCUGUCUUCGGUACGGCAAUUUCCGCUUUUGUAGUAGGUGGAGGAAUUUAUUUUCUGGGUCAGGCUGAUGUAAUCUCUAAACUCAACAUGACAGACAGCUUUGCGUUUGGCUCCCUGAUUUCUGCGGUCGAUCCGGUGGCCACUAUUGCUAUUUUCAACGCCCUUCACGUGGACCCGGUGCUCAACAUGCUGGUUUUUGGGGAGAGUAUUCUCAACGACGCCGUCUCCAUUGUCCUGACCAACACAGCUGAAGGUUUAACAAGGAAAAAUAUGUCAGACGUCAGUGGGUGGCAAACAUUUUUACAAGCCCUUGGCUACUUCCUCAAAAUGUUCUUUGGCUCAGCGGCACUCGGCACCCUCACUGGCUUAAUCUCUGCACUAGUGCUGAAGCACAUUGACUUGAGGAAAACGCCUUCCUUGGAGUUCGGCAUGAUGAUCAUUUUUGCUUAUCUUCCGUACGGGCUCGCCGAAGGAAUCUCGCUCUCGGGCAUCAUGGCCAUCCUGUUCUCGGGCAUCGUGAUGUCCCACUACACGCACCAUAACCUGUCCCCGGUCACCCAGAUCCUCAUGCAGCAGACCCUGCGGACCGUGGCCUUCCUAUGCGAAACAUGUGUGUUUGCAUUUCUUGGCCUGUCCAUUUUUAGUUUCCCUCACAAGUUUGAAAUUUCCUUUGUCAUCUGGUGCAUAGUCCUUGUACUGUUUGGCAGAGCGGUGAACAUUUUCCCUCUUUCCUACCUCCUGAAUUUCUUCCGUGAUCAUAAAAUCACACCGAAGAUGAUGUUCAUCAUGUGGUUUAGUGGCCUGCGGGGCGCCAUCCCCUACGCGCUGAGCCUGCACCUGGACCUGGAGCCCAUGGAGAAGCGGCAGCUCAUCGGCACCACCACCAUCGUCAUCGUGCUCUUCACCAUCCUGCUGCUGGGCGGCAGCACCAUGCCCCUCAUCCGCCUGGUGGACAUCGAGGACGCCAAGGCGCGCCGCAGGAGCAAGAAGGACGUCAACCUCAGCAAGACGGAGAAGAUGGGCAACGCCAUUGAGUCGGAGCACCUGUCCGAGCUCACAGAGGAGGAGUAUGAAGCCCACUACGUCAGGCGGCAGGACCUCAAAGGCUUCGUGUGGCUGGACGCCAAGUACCUGAACCCCUUCUUCACGCGGCGGCUGACGCAGGAGCUGCCGUCCCAGACGGUCAUCACUGUAGCUGCGUCUCAUCUUCCCGACAUCGUGUGUCAUGGCUGCAGCCGCCCUUGGACUAGACAGCUGGGGAGACUGAGGCCCAGAGAGGACCUCCACCAUGGGCGCAUCCAGAUGAAAACCCUCACCAACAAGUGGUACGAGGAGGUGCGCCAGGGCCCCUCCGGCUCCGAGGACGAUGAGCAGGAACUGCUGUGACGGAGCAGGGCCCCCCACAGCCCCUGGGACAGACACUCGGCCAGGGCCCCCGGUGCCGCUCACACUGGGCAGCCCCCUCAGGGUAGACAGAAGCAGGUCACGUGAAGCGAAGGCCAUGGUCCUCUUAAACCCGGCGUCCCUGGCCCUCGGAGCCACAGGCCACCUCCCCAGGCCACAACAAGCGGGACCUCUGCUCUCGGUGUUGCCCCGGAGCCCACAGAUGGGAGGGACCGCCUGUCCAGGUAAAUUCUCCUUCUGCUUCUGCAGCCAGAGAGACACGUCAUCCGUUGAGCUGCGGUGCGGGCGGAGAGAAGGGGCGCCGUGGAGCCCGGCCGGGACGGGGGGCGGCCAGGGAGCGCCCGCUUCCGGCUUCUGCCUCCCAGCCCCUGCCUGCGUCCCAGGAGCACCUGCCGCGCCCCGGAUGGGUGUCUGUUCUAGCAGGGCGAGGAGCCUGCCAUGUCACCUUGGUCAUCGAGGCGCCUCCGGCCUCAGCAGCAGCAAUUCUGACCAGAAGUGGUGGGUUCCGAAAUCUGGAAAAUGUCACACUCUCCCUUGUGAUGUUGCUCACGCUCCUCGAGAAGGAAAAACUGAGUGAAAACCCCUUUACCUCUGGUUGGCACCUCAUAGGCUGUCUCCCUGGGUGGCAGGCGGCCACUGCCCUUCUCUGGGAAUGCUAAGGCGCACCCGUUUCUACUGCUCCUGGACGUGUAGGAAACCAAAUUGGAACUGUUCCCAAAACAGCAGCCAGAAUCACUGAGAAGCUGCCGUGCCAGGAACCCGUCUCCAAGGCCCUGGGCCAUGGGUUUGACAUGACAGCACCCCUGUGCGGGGAGGACUUCACCUGAGGCAGAGCCGCGUGGCCAUGCUCCCUCCCAUUUAGGUUCCUGCUGUUGCUCCCGCAGAUGGAGUCAGACGUUCAGGAACUUCUGUGGCUCUCGGCCACACGACAGAAGAAGGAAGAUGUCACAGCUUCCUGUGGGCCGCCCCAUUUUUUCACUCUUUCCCACCCCAGCCAACAUGGUCCUGGGGGAGAGGGGGAUACUUGGCCUUCCUCACCAGUGAGCCGGCCUCCCAGGCUGCUCUUGCCGACGGGCGCACAUGGCUUUGGGGUGAAGGCCCCACAUGCCCGUAGGAGCAGCCCGCGGGAGGCAGGCCGCGUGACUGGCCGGGGCCAUGCAGAUGGGCGCUCACAAGGGAAGGGCCGCCUGUCCCCUCCGUGGGCCUGCGCUCCCAGGAGCCUGCCGACCCCGUGAGCACAUCCCUGCGCUCCCUCCUGGAAGCCUCAGGAACCGAGACAAGCCCGAAGGGUGCCAACCCCAGGCUUUAUUUGAUGUUUUCUCCAGUACAGGCCGGGCCAAGCUUGAGUUGUUCUCAAGGUUAAUCAAAAUUUUGAAUUCUUGUAACUUUCUUUGUAAAAAUGAAGGAAUUGUUAAAGUGCUGCUUUUUCAUUUGUUCUGAGACCUUGGAAGGUGAGGCUUACUCUUUGUCCGACGCCGUGUAAGUUGUAAGAGGGGCAUGUUAGGUCCUGGGUCCUGGGCAUGUUAGGUCCUGGGUCCUGAGAAAGGCUUUGCUGCUCUUGAUGGGGCCUCGGGCAGGGGAGGGGAAGGCAGGUCCGAGGCAGGGGUGCCUGGCGCUGCUGUGCAGCACCCCUGCCUCAUCUCACUGGACUCGUGAAAGAGUCUAGAAAUGGAUGGAAGACACGCAUGUCACUGGAUACGUACGUAGGAAUAAAAAUGACUGCUGCUGAA